rnacentral:rRNA from 1 species
CUUGGUCAUUUAGAGGAAGUAAAAGUCGUAACAAGGUUUCCGUAGGUGAACCUGCGGAAGGAUCAUUACAGAGUUCAUGCCCUUACGGGUAGAUCUCCCACCCUUGAAUAUAUACCUUUGUUGCUUUGGCGGGUCGCAUCGUCCACUGGCUUUUUGCUAGUGAGUGCCCGCCAGAGAACCCUAAAUUCUGAAUUAAAGUGUCGUCUGAGUAUUAUAUAAUAGUUAAAACUUUCAACAACGGAUCUCUUGGUUCUGGCAUCGAUGAAGAACGCAGCGAAAUGCGAUAAGUAAUGUGGAUUGCAGAAUUCAGUAAAUCAUCGAAUCUUUGAACGCACAUUGCGCCCCUUGGUAUUCCGGGGGGCAUGCCUGUUCGAGCGUCAUUAUAACCCUCAAGCCUAGCUUGGUGUUGGGGCAUGCCUUUGGGCAGCCCUUAAAAUCAGUGGCAGUGCCUAUCGGCUCUAAGCGUAGUAAUUUCUCUCGCUAUAGGGUCCGGUGGAACACGCGCCAGAACCCCCAACUUUCUAUGGUUGACCUCGGAUCAGGUAGGAUACCCGCUGAACUUAAGCAUAUCAAUAAGCGGAGGA